UACGUAGGGGGCAAGCGUUGUUCGGAUUUACUGGGCGUAAAGGGCGCGUAGGCGGCCUGUGCAAGUCAGUUGUGAAAUCUCCGAGCUUAACUCGGAAAGGUCAACUGAUACUGCUCGGCUAGAGUGCGGAAGGGGCAACUGGAAUUCUUGGUGUAGCGGUGAAAUGCGUAGAUAUCAAGAGGAACACCUGCGGCGAAGGCGGGUUGCUGGGCCGACACUGACGCUGAGGCGCGAAAGCUAGGGGAGCGAACGGG
rnacentral:rRNA from 1 species